GCGGCUUCUCAAACACGGCUUCUCAUCCGUGUCAUUCAAAAACCCUAAUUCUAUCAAACACAAAAACUCUCAUCUAGGUAUCUUUAUCAUCUUCAACAUGCUUUCAGAUCUUGAAGAUCCAUCCAAUUCUCCUUUUCCUUCGUUCAUCCCUUUUCAUUAUCAUCGAUUUUCUUUUGUCUUCCCCUUUCAUAAUCCUCUGUAAACCCUAGAGGAGUCUGCACCAGUUCUUCGAGGUUACUGAUUCAAUCUGAUGGAAUGAUGGAUCUUUAUUCAGGCAUUUGGAGAGAGGGAAAUGGUCGAUAUAUGGCAAUAAGAGAGAGGGAGUGAGUGUUAGAGAUAGAGACGGUGGUGGCUGUUGUUGCGACACCACUCGCCACCGGCGACGAGGAUGACCAUCGGUGGUCAAGGGUUUAGAAUAGCGGUCUCGCUUAUGACCACAGUGGCCUCCGGCAAGCGUUACAUAGUCGAUUGGCUCCCGCUUCGUUUUUACCCAACAUGUGUCGAUUUCUUCAUCUCGAAGGGUUUUUAGAAUCCUCCAAUUGAUUUAAUGUUGAAUGUUCAUUUGUAAGGGAGUCAACAUGUCACUAGCAAGAUCCUGUCGAAGGUUAUUGAGUACUGUAAAAAGCACGUGGAAUCGAUGAAAACGAGGGAAGGUAACUGGUGAGGAUCUAAAAGCUUCUGAUUCAGAGUUUGUGGAAGUGGAGCAUGGAUCGAACGACUCUUUUUUACUUAAUUCUGGGUACAUUUAUUAUACUCAACACUGCUGUGCUAGCUCCUACUGCUACAAUCUCACCCACAAAACCUCAAUCCACGCCAUUUGCAAAAACAACUAACAAAAAAUUUCACAGGCCACUGGUAGUAGAGAAUAAAAGCUUCCAAUAACAAGUUUGCACAGAACUGAUUAGAAUCAUUUUUCAAACCUGUUCUUAGCACGUAUGUUUCCAUUAAAAGAAAGGUAAAGUUUCAUUUGAAUUUUGUUGAUUCUUUUAUCUUACUUUGUGUAUUUCUUCUUAAGUGUUAAUAAGUUCAGAUACAACUUAGUUAGCAUUGGUUUUCCAUGGUAGUAGCCUUUUUUUCAAUUAUCACAUUGAUUCCUCUUACCAUUUGUCUUCUUGAGUACGAUAUGAACAAGUUAGAAAACAAACCUAAUCUAAUAGCUUUGACUUCCUUUUUCAAACUUUGAAUCAAAUUUUGGUUUCUGCUUCAACCUUUGAAGGGUGAUAAUGAGUGGAGGUGGGGGCUCAUGGAUUGGUAUGAUACUAUGAUGUGAUGAAAGAUGGAUGUGCGGAGGGGUUGUGGUAGGUGGCAAUGAAGUGUGAUGGUGGUUAUUGUUGAAGAAGGUGGUUAACAAAGGUUUGUGGUCGUUAAUGACUGUGGUGGCUGGCAUCGGAAAUGCUAUAUCGUUUCUUUAUAUUAUUCUCUAAAAUUUUGAGAUAAAAUAUGUAAUUAUGUAUAGAGGGUGGGAUGUGAACGCUCAAAAAACUUGAACAUGAGUGUGACAAUCAGCCUAGAGUAUCAUUCAAAACAUCAACCUCUGCUACGUAGCAAGUUCAUUGAUUGUGUCGGGUGGUUCAAGCUGUCCUUAAUACAAAUUUAGUGGAUAAAAAAGACGGGUCAAAGAGCUGCUAUAAGGGCUGACAUUGUGUGUGUUAUCAUAAUGAACGCGUUGUUUUUCUAUUAUAAAGUAUUGUUGGAUAAAAAAGACGGGUCAAAGUUUUGCUUUCCAAAUUUAAAACUUAUGCAAAUUUAGUGUCCCAGAAAAUUAUUAGCGCUUCUAAGUUUGUAAGGCUUGACUACGAUAUAUUUCGUUUUGAUUAUUUCCCUCAUAACAAGUGAUCUUUAGACUCUAAGAAGGUUGAGCUCAUCUUUAUAAAUGUAAUUUUUAUGACUGAUUAUUACUUUGUUUCUUUCUAUUUUGAUAAACAUGUAUACAUGGGAUGGCAUUGACGAGAGUACCGAAGGGCGGGUUCAGGGAAUAGCGGUUUAGAAUCGCUGAAUAACGGAUAUGGAUGGUUCAUCGUUGGAGGUUGAUCACGGUAGGAAUGAUGAUAUUGAUAGUAAUGCCUGCAUCGCAGGAGAGUCUAAAGGAGGCUGCGGCUGGGGAGGAUUCUCCUGCUUCGCCAGCUCAACCCGUUCAUUCUCAAGUACUGCUGGAACAAGAUGGCUACCCCCAAAGUCAACUAAUUCGGCUCCUGAGGGUCAGGAUGGAGUAUUUCCAUGCUAGCUGGUGCGGGGAUUUGUGCUAACAAGGUACUACGUCAAUGCCACUAUAUUUUGAGUUGGAAGACUCUGAACGGAAAAUGAGGAGCUGAAUGAGAAUGGAGAAGAAAUUAAAUCAAUAGCUUUAUAUCAUUACAAAGUUCAUCUCAAUGUUAGUAGAUAUUAUAUGUUUGUGUUAAGCCACCCGUGAAACUCGCGGGAUCUUAGACUAUAUGAAUUUAAAUAAGAAUUUAGAUAUUGAAGUUUAUAUAAACUUGAUGUCAAUCAAAAGAUGAAAACAGUGACCUUUCGUUGAUCUAUUAAAGGUUCGCUGGUAUGUAA